UACGUAGGUGGCGAGCGUUGUCCGGAUUUAUUGGGCGUAAAGGGCGCGCAGGUGGUACGGUAAGGCUGCCGUGAAAUCUCCCGGCUCAACUGGGGAGGGUCACGCGAUACUGAUCGACUCGAAGGCAGGAGAGGGAAGUGGAAUUCCCGGUGUAGUGGUGAAAUGCGUAGAUAUCGGGAGGAACACCAGUGGCGAAGGCGACUUCCUGGCCUGUUCUUGACGCUGAGGCGCGAAAGCUAGGGGAGCAAACGGG
rnacentral:rRNA from 1 species